UUGGUCUUGGAGACUACGAACCCUGCAAAAGUAACUUAAAUUACCGUAUCACACUGCGACUCGUAUCAUUCACUGCGAGGUUGAGCUCAAAUUUCUGAAAGUCGUUUUGCUCCUGGCAAUGUGAGACAAGAUAAAAUGCGUUACAGUGCGAGUCGACUUGCAUGCAGUAUAUAAGUCUACCAAAAUACCAAAUCCUAAAGGACUGUGUUCAUUUGAGCUGAGAUGAAUCAUGUCACGAAUUUUUUUCCUGACCAUAAAAGAUCGUUUGAAUAAACUUUAUACUGUUAUUGGAAUCAAACUAAGCUGAUUCAACUCUGAAAUGUAAUUUUUGAUGUUUAUCAAUUAGAGCUUUAUUAGACGAAUCAUGUCAUGCAGUUUACCAGAUCAGCCCGGCUCCAUAUGAACACUCCCUAACCAUUUAGCAGAAUUUAAAAUAACCGAAAACUGACUAAAUCACAGCAAAAACUGCGACGAAAGGCUGUGA